rnacentral:rRNA from 1 species
AGUGAACGCUGGCGGUAGGCCUAACACAUGCAAGUCGAACGGCAGCACAGUAAGAGCUUGCUCUUACGGGUGGCGAGUGGCGGACGGGUGAGGAAUACAUCGGAAUCUACUUUUUCGUGGGGGAUAACGUAGGGAAACUUACGCUAAUACCGCAUACGACCUACGGGUGAAAGCAGGGGAUCUUCGGACCUUGCGCGAUUGAAUGAGCCGAUGUCGGAUUAGCUAGUUGGCGGGGUAAAGGCCCACCAAGGCGACGAUCCGUAGCUGGUCUGAGAGGAUGAUCAGCCACACUGGAACUGAGACACGGUCCAGACUCCUACGGGAGGCAGCAGUGAGGAAUAUUGGACAAUGGGCGCAAGCCUGAUCCAGCCAUACCGCGAGGGUGAAGAAGGCCUUCGGGUUGUAAAGCCCUUUUGUUGGGAAAGAAAAGCAGCAGGUUAAUACCCCGCUGUUCUGACGGUACCCAAAGAAUAAGCACCGGCUAACUUCGUG